rnacentral:miRNA from 14 species
AGCCAGACCUCACGGAGAGGAGGAGGAGGAGGAGGAGGAGGAAGAGGAGAGAUGUUAGUGCAGGUCUUCAGGAAGACGUUGAUGGUUCCACUCAGCUGUAUGAAUUAAACGUGACAGAAGUAGCUUCACUACUGCUUCCUCCUCCUCCUCUUCUUCCUCUGCUCCAUCUCAUCCUUCCUCU